GGCUCAGAAUGAACGUUGGCGGCGUGGAUUAGGCAUGCAAGUCGAGCGAGAACCGUAGCAAUACGGGGACAGCGGCGAAAGGGAGAGGAACACGUGGAUACGUACCCUCGGGUUCAGGAUAGCCAUGGGAAACUAUGGGUAAUACUGAAUAACAUCUCCGGAUCAAAGGUGUGAUUCCGCCCGGGGAGCGGUCCGCGUCCUAUUAGCUUGUUGGUGAGGUAACGGCUCACCAAGGCAAAGAUGGGUAUGGGGUGUGAGAGCAUGCCCCCACUCACUGGGACUGAGACACUGCCCAGACACCUACGGGUGGCUGCAGUCGAGAAUCUUCGGCAAUGGGGGAAACCCUGACCGAGCGACGCCGCGUGCGAGAUGAAGGCCUUCGGGUUGUAAAUCGCUGUCAGAGGGGAGGAAAUGCCGGUGGGUUCUCCCAUCGGUUUGACCUAGCCUCAGAGGAAGGACGGGCUAAGUUCGUGCCAGCAGCCGCGGUAAGACGAACCGUCCAAACGUUAUUCGGAAUCACUGGGCUUAAAGGGUGCGUAGGCGGCGCGGGAAGUUGGGUGUGAAAGCCCUCGGCUCAACCGAGGAAUUGCGCCCAAAACUGCCGUGCUUGAGGGAGAUAUAGGUGAGCGGAACUUAGGGUGGAGCGGUGAAAUGCGUUGAGAUCCUAAGGAACACCAGUAGCGAAAGCGGCUCACUGGGUCUCUUCUGACGCUGAUGCACGAAAGCUAGGGGAGCGGAGAGGAUUAGAUACCCUCGUAGUCCUAGCUGUAAACAAUGAGCACUGGUUUGGAGGGUCCUCCAUAGCCUUCCAGACGUAGCGAAAGUGUUAAGUGCUCCGCCUGGGGAGUAUGGUCGC
rnacentral:rRNA from 1 species